GGGUGGGGCCCCAGAGUUUGCAUUUUCAGCAAGUUGCCAGCUGAUGUGGGUGCUGCUGGUCUGGGACAGCCCUUUGAGAACUGCAGGUUUAGUUCAUUCCCUUCAGGAAGAAUGAGCCCGCACAUGGCCCUGCAGAUCACCUUUUGAAUGUCUUCCUCUUCUGCCUACUUGCUGGCCCAUGAGGAUUUUUGCACACCUCCCGUAAGGAUUGGCAUGUAUCCAUUAGCUUUUCUCACCCAGCCUUGUGCUUUCAGUACCAUGUCCUUGUGAGAUGUACUUUAUCCCUUGCCAGAAGCUACAUCAGAUACUUUGGUAAUCUUUG